UACGUAGGGAGCGAGCGUUGUCCGGAUUCAUUGGGCGUAAAGAGCUCGUAGGCGGCUUGGUAAGUCGGAUGUGAAACCUCCAGGCUCAACCUGGAGUCGCCAUCCGAUACUGCCAUGGCUAGAGUCCGGUAGGGGCCCACGGAAUUCCUGGUGGUAGCGGUGAAAUGCGCAGAUAAUCAGGAGGAACACCGAUGGCGAAGGCAGAUGGGCCUGGGC
rnacentral:rRNA from 1 species